GUGGCAGAGUGACUGUAGUAGGUCAUAGUAGGUGGCAGAAUGGCUGUAGUACAUCAUAGUAGGUGGCAGAGUGGCUGUAGUAAGUGGCAGAGUGGCUGUAGUAGGUCGUAGUAGGUGGCAGAGUGGCUGUAGUAGGUCGUAGUAGGUGGCAGAGUGGCUGUAGUAGGUCGUAGUAGGUGGCAGAGUGGCUGUAGUAGGUCGUAGUAGGUGGCAGAGUGGCUGUAGUAGGUCAUAGUAGGUGGCAGAGUGGCUGUAGUAGAUCAUAGUAGGUGGCAGAGUGGCUGUAGUAGGUCAUAGUAGGUGGCAGAGUGGCUGUAGUAGGUCGUAGUAGGUGGCAGAAUGGCUGUAGUAGGUCAUCGUUGGUGGCAGAAUGGCUGUAGU